GCCGGAGUGGUGGAACUGGGAGACGCGCGGGACUCAAAAUCCCGUGGGCUUUACGCCCGUGUGGGUUCGAUCCCCACCUCCGGCA
rnacentral:tRNA from 1 species